UUUUGACCUAGUGUCUGUUUCAAUGACCUUAUGUUGGCUAACUGAUUAAUUGUGCAAGACUUCUCCAAAUGAACUGAUAAAAAUCAAGAGCUGACAGGGUGUGACAGUGACAAGUGAGAACUGCCUGAAAACAUAUGUGCCCAUCAUAGUAUAAACAUGCCGUAUAUAAAUAUGUGGACAUUUUUAAACAUCUUGACUGCUCUGCACUACCUCACAAAAGCCUGUACUCCAUCAUACAGUGGCUUGACACAGACAACAGCUUUCUCAGGAGGGUCUGUGCUGCUGCCAUGCACCUGUACCGACCCACAGGACAAGCCCCAGUCUGUCUUCUGGAAAUCCAACAGCAAAAGAGCUUCUAAAUAUGGCAUUUACACUGAUAUAUCGAGUGUGUUUGAGCUGUACAGUGACAGAAUUACACUGUUUAAUCAGACUUCACCUGGAAAUGUCUCUCUACUUCUGUCAGACCUGACUAAGGAUGAUCAGGGAUCAUAUGUCUGUUUGUUAAAUAAAACAUCCAGAUUCAUUGACGUCACCAUUGAAGAAAGAAGUGAAAGUACAACAUUUUCUAAGGCGAGUCUCAGUGCAGUGAUCUCUGUGUUGUUUCUAGUAAUAGCAGCAGGAGGAGCCGCUGUCAUUUACUGCAUGCACAGAGGUCAGCACACACACAUUAACUAUAUAUACACACCAGUCAAAAAAUACAUUGCCGUUAGUAUGUUUUACUUCAUGAAAUUACUGUUUUUAAAGCUUACAGAAAAGCAAGAACAGAGACUGGAGAUAAAAAUGUGGAAAAUAUUUUAGUAAGUUUCAAUACACAUUUAACAAAUUAAUGUUUUGGCCGGUUUUUAAGGAUCUUUUAUAAACUGUCUCUUCACAGGAUGAUCACAAUUCAACAUAUUGUACUCUGCGGAAAAAAUAUGAUGCUGAGGAAAUGUAUGGAACUAUUGGGAACAGACCAAAGGAACAGUAGAAUGUCAGGUGUGUUGUGAAAUCUAGUUACAAAACCCUGCUUGCCACUCAAAAUUAAAUGACAAAUUCACUGUUAAAAAGCAUCUGCUAUUGUCUUUUUCACAUUUAUGCAUUUAGACAAUUCUAGAUGGUAUUGCUGGAUUAUUUCUGUUGACAGAACAAGAAGUAAAAUGAAAAUGUAUAUAUUAUUAUGUUUUUUUAACCCUCUUGUGGCCAUUUCUUAGGCAGUACGAAAUUAUCAUCUCAAACAAUGAAAAAGCAAAGCCCAUUCUUUAAGUUCUAGAGUUCACUAAAAUAUUCAUCUUAUUUAUCUGUUUUAAUACUUAAAACAAACAAACCAAACAAUAUGAUUAGCCAGAAUCUAAUUUACAGCAGAUUUGGUCUCUAAAAAAGCUCUCCCCUCACAGGCGUGGCACGAAAGACUUCAUGAAUGUGUAGAGCAUAACUUCCUCUUUUCACAGUGUCUAACAGCAUCAUAACUUGCUUAAAACUCACAAAAUGGCAGAGGCGUCUAGACAUGUAAGGAGACAAAUCUUGACAACAUAUAUCUCACAUAUCAAUCACAACUUUAUAGCGAUCUUGUUAAUUGAUCUCUAAUAGUGAUGGGAAUUCAAAUUCUGUUCUAAAUAUUUGGUAUAAAAACGCUCUGCACUCAAUUCAAAUUGCAAGUUAAUUUCACAAUCGAUUCGAAAGAUACAGCAAGAAACACAUUGAAUUAAACAUUUAAUUCUGAAGUAGAAAAACUGAAAUAGUACUUGUAAACAUACUCCAAUAAUCUGUUUUAUUUAAACUAAAAAAAAAAAACAUAUUUAGAGUGUAGUGGAUGCAAACACUAGGACGAGUCAAAUGAAAUAACUUUUAAAUGCACAUUCUAGCUUAAUAUUUAGCUGGUUUCUCUGUUUUGACAUGAUUAGUGUUUUGUAUUCUUAAUCAUUUUUAAAUCAUUUCUAAACUGAAUUAAAUAAUUUUUAUUUUUCUACUUGUAUAGGCAGUUUAAGAUAUGUUAUGUGGCUGUAUUUUACUUUUACCUAUAUUUAUGCCUAUAUUUAUAUAUGAUUUCCUUUAUCUUGCAUGUAAUAUUGCAUAAUUUUUAUUAUUAUAUAAUUUUAUUAUUACCUAGAAGUAAUUUUCAUAUUUGUAAAGGUUUCUUGAACCUUUCAAUAGACAACCUAUCAGAAAAUCUUUAGAGAUGACAUUGCAAGACUAUAAUUUGCAGUGACUUUGUAUUUUACACUUUUGUGACUUCCUUAAACUCGUCAUCAUUAAACUGUCGCAUUUAACUGCAGUUCUGACUCCUGGUUGUUUUACCAGUUGCAUAAACACAGCCACUAUGUAAAGGCUGGCCAACUUUUUUUAAUGUCUUGUAAGACUGGUCUACCCAAAUAAUAAGCUCAUGUUAAUGACUACUUUCACAAACACUAACUCACAAUGUUUCUUCCUGUGGAGUUUGCAGUGUAUACAUUAAAAACAGUCAUGGGUUUAAUAGUUUUAUUGCAAGCUUACAUAGGAAAAAGUUGACUUCUGAAUCGGUAACCUAACCUAGAAUUGUGGAACUGAAAGUUACAUUGGCGUUCAAAUUAGGCUGAAAAAGAUUAAGUACAAACCAAUUAAUGGCAACUAGUAAUUAAAAAGAUUUGAGAAUUACCAGAAUUUACAGAGCACUUUUAUCAUUUCACGAUAAGGUUCUGUUUUUUUAGCUGUCUUGGAAAAGUUUGAUUACAUUACCAGCUAUAUUGUUAUGAUCUACUGCCUGCUUAUGUUUCAUUCAUUCUGUGUACAUGUUUCUGCAAGCUUCCAGAUGCUGAGAGUAGAGUUCAGCAAACUUCUUCGCUGUCUUCAGCUGUUCUUCACACCAGCCAAUCAGGAAGAUCUUCAGCACAUUCACUCGGGAGCUAUGGAAACGCUCAAUCUUCCAGACAUUAGUCCAAUAAUUAUACUACAUCCUCUAUAAAUGUACAAUGUGGAUCUGAUGUUCAGAUCAAGAAGUCAUGUAAUAAGAUUGUUCAAAUUUCCCUUGUAACAACUCUGGUAACACAUUUAGCAGACAAGCUCCUUUGGGUUUAACUUCAGUCACAGUUUUUACCUCUUGUUUAGCCACAGAUGAGAUCAGCCUAAACUCAACCACUUUUUGAAAUGCUUCCACCUAUAGUAUGAGACACAGAAAGACUUCAUCUGAAUUUACCAGAUAAACAUGACGUGAACACUUCAGUGUGGAUGUGUGCAUCUAGCCAUAAUAUAACAUAUCACAUAACGCAGAUUAAUACAUACCACUUCUCUCUUAUUGGCCUUGGCUUUUUUUGUACUCUUUUUAACUGAUUUCAGCUCUAUCAGUUUACAGGUUCUUCUGAAGAGCAUUUCCUAUAACAACACAAGAAGAAAUGGACAAUUACUUUCAGUACAGUAUAGAAGAAUAGUGCACAAUCACAGCUUCUCUGCCUCUUGGUAGCGAGACUCCAGGUCCAGACCCAAACCAAGAGUGGACAGGUUGUUACUGCCAACUUUCUCAAAGUUUCGCUAAAGAUUAAAAUAAUAAUAAUAAUUAUUAUUAUUACAUUUUUAGUAUUGAUUGUAUAAAAACAGGAAUGGCCAAAAGCCCUUCACCUGUGCUUAAAGUUUUUGCAUGCAAAGUGGCCUUACCUUCACUGCCUCAAUAAUUAUCCUACAGCUUCAAACAAACCCUAAAGAAACACAAAACCUGAUUAUCCUCGCAUGACCAACAUUCACAUAAACACGCGUUUCUCUCACACAUUAAUUCCAUGUGUGCACAUUAAUGCAGACAGAAAUGCUCAUUUUAUUUAGUGAAAUCCUAACUUGGAGAAAGCUACAGCAGCUGCAUCGUCCUGAUUCACACAAAGAUGAAGAGAUGUGGAAAAAUGUCCACAGGCCAAAGCAAGCUCUGUAAAACACACACACACACAGUAAUAUACAGGCCUACUGUAUUCCUAAAUAAUGUGUACUGAGCAUGCAUAUAAACAUUUUGAAAUUACUUACUCUCCUCUGUCAUCACAACACAAAAAGAAAAGAACACAAAAUUGCAUAAUGUAUUAUAAAAUCACAGUCCACUGGCCAAAUAGAAACUGAAAAAAAAAAAACAGAAAAACAGCUUAAAUAGUGUACCUCAGUGGCAACCUUUGACAAAGCAGCAAGAUUAAUGUUUUUGUUUCUCUCAUUCUGAAAGAAGUUGUCCACAUCCAGGGGGAUUAAAUUAUAUAUUUACACACACACACCUUAUGACUUUCCUUCCUCCUCUCCUCCACAGCCUGACUGAGGCGAUUAAAGAUUCCUUUCCUGCCUCGCUGCCUUCCAGGAGACUAGUCAAAAAAUACAUAGAAUGACAAAAGUAAGAUUAUCAAGGAUUUCAUCACAUUUCCCCCAAAACUGAAAAAGGUGGUGAACAAACAAUAUAAAGAGAAGGCUUUUCUAGCAAGGUUUUUCUCCAUGCUGGAGAAUCCAGUUAAAAUCCUCAUACACCGUCACACCUCCAUACUUUAUUUACCCCUAUUAUAACCGCAUAUUAGUACCUUUUGAAAGAGUUCCAUCCCAGUGACAGCUUUUUUCCCUGAGAGUGUAUGGUGAACAUAUACAGUACAAAACAAACUGGUCACAAACACUGCUGAAAUACAAAUCAGCUCAUACCAGCUUAAGGUGGUCAAACUUCUUUUUGGGAUAUAGUAGCUAAUUUGUUGCUGGUCCAAGAUUGGCAACUAUGUUAGCCAGGUCUCCAUCUGCCAUUUUAUAAUCCGGUUGGUCAACCACCUAAACGACCUUGGCUCAAGUAAUAUAGCUAUAUAAAUAAAGAUGACUAAUGACCAGCUAGAAACCA
ensembl:lncRNA